rnacentral:tRNA from 1 species
CUCCCUGUGGCUCAGUUGGUAGAGCAUGGUGUUUGCAACGCCAGCAUGGUGUUUGCAACGCCAGGGUUGUGGGUUCGAUUCCCACAGGGGGC